UGCGUUUUAAGAAUGUUAAUCGAUUUCCUUCCAUUAAAAAGUCACAUUUUCUAUACAAAAUAUAUGUAUGUUUAAUUUUAUCUAUAUUCUCACAGUGUAAGGAUAUUUUGUUCAUAUUUCUAACAGGUAAUAUUUCAAAACAAGUAUUACAAAAAAACUGGCUCAAAAAGGGGAAGUCUAAACAAACUGACAAAACCAAAGCGAUAUUAAUCAAUGGGAACAGUAAAAGGUAAAUAAACAAAACUACCAAACUCCUAGGAAUAUUCAAAACGGAAAGUCUCUUAUCAAAUGGCAAAGUCCGUUCGUAAAUACAUGUACUACCUUUUUCAGAUAUGAAUAAAUUAGUAUACUUAUGUCCGCGAAAAUUUAAUUGUUAGUUUAAGUUUGACGCAUUUUUCUAAUUGCGGAUUUUGGCAAAUCCAAUAAAUGUGUAAAUAAGGCAACAGUAAUAAAGCGCUGUUCGAACGUCAUAAGUCGAUUGAGAUUAACAAUGCAUGAUGAACGACUACGUCUUAACGAACAAUCGAGAACACGUGUAUUUCCUGGAAUACAACACAUUUUGUCAUGCAUUGUGGGAUAAAUAAUUUCGCUUAGUUUCCAAUUUUUGUAUUGCAGUAAUGAUAUUGUACCAACAACUUUUAUUAUAAGAAAAUUCAUUAAAAUCGAGAAGAGUAUGCAUUUGUUACGUUGUCUAAAGAUAAACACAAAUAACUUUCAGAGAAGAUUGGUUUUCCAUUAUCUUUAAAAGAGAUAUUUACCUUAGAUUCCAUAAAGUAUUUUAACGCAAAACCAAAUAUGAGAUACACAUAGAAAGAUUUUUAAAUCAUGAUAAAUGGUUCAGAAGGAGGUUCGGACACAAUACCAUAAACCCAUUGAAGCAAUGGCAAAGUUAAUGUAUUAUAAAAAAAAACCAAGUAUUAUGAAAUAAAGAGUUCAAAAGAACAAAU
rnacentral:lncRNA from 1 species